GGUGCCGACGCCGCACCUCUCUGCCCUAGCGCCGGGCCGCCGUACCUCUCUGCCCUAGCGCCGGGCCGCCGUCGAGCCCUAGUUCUCCGGCCGACUCUUCCUUCCCGAGCCGCACCAGGCGAUGCCAUCACUUGAGGCCGGACGGAGCAGUGCAUACCCCUACUUCAAUUGCCCAGAUUCGGUAGCCAAUUUGUUCCUCUGCCUAGUGUCAGUAAACAAGCCUUCUUCCCUCUGUAUUGUCGUCGGCCACAAGAUUUCGAGCAUCAACAGAUUUCUAUAGCCUAUUGACAGAGAGGAAGAAGAUUUGGCAGCAAUAUACCUUUGCUGGCAACAACAAACCGUGUGUGUGGAUCAACAAUCAAGGCUGUGAAUUUAGGUUGAUGCUGUCAAGAGGG